rnacentral:rRNA from 1 species
AGUGGCAGACGGGUGAGUAACGCGUGGGAACGUACCUUUCGCUAAGGAAUAGCUCCGGGAAACUGGUGGUAAUACCUUAUACGCCCUUAGGGGGAAAGAUUUAUCGGCGAAAGAUCGGCCCGCGUUGGAUUAGCUAGUUGGUGAGGUAAUGGCUCACAAAGGCGACGAUCCAUAGCUGGUCUGAGAGGAUGAUCAGCCACACUGGGACUGAGACACGGCCCAGACUCCUACGGGAGGCAGCAGUGGGGAAUCUUGCACAAUGGGCGAAAGCCUGAUGCAGCCAUGCCGCGUGAAUGAUGAAGGCCUUAGGGUUGUAAAAUUCUUUCGUCAGGGAUGAUAAUGACCGUACCUGAAGAAGAAGCCCCGGCUAACUUCGUGCCAGCAGCCGCGGUAAUACGAAGGGGGCUAGCGUUGUUCGGAAUUACUGGGCGUAAAGCGCACGUAGGCGGACUUUUAAGUCAGGUGUGAAAUCCCGGGGCUCAACCUCGGAACUGCAUUUGAAACUGGAAGUCUUGAGAUCAGGAGAGGUUGGCGGAAUACCGAGUGUAGAGGUGAAAUUCGUAGAUAUUCGGUGGAACACCAGUGGCGAAGGCGGCUAACUGGACUGAUACUGACGCUGAGGUGCGAAAGUGUGGGGAGCAAACAGGAUUAGAUACCCUGGUAGUCCACACCGUAAACGAUGAGAGCUAGUUGUUGGCA